AGGACGAACGCUGGCGGCGUGCUUAACACAUGCAAGUCGAGCGGAAAGGCCCUUCGGGGUACUCGAGCGGCGAACGGGUGAGUAACACGUGAGCAACCUGCCCUUAGCUCUGGGAUAGCUCCGGGAAACCGGAAUUAAUACCGGAUAUGACCUAGGCCGACAUCGGCCGUGGUGGAAAGUUUUUCGGCUAGGGAUGGACUCGCGGCCUAUCAGCUAGUUGGUGGGGUAAUGGCCUACCAAGGCGACGACGGGUAGCCGGCCUGAGAGGGCGACCGGCCACACUGGGACUGAGACACGGCCCAGACUCCUACGGGAGGCAGCAGUGGGGAAUCUUGCGCAAUGGGCGAAAGCCUGACGCAGCGACGCCGCGUGGGGGAUGGAAGGCCUUCGGGUUGUAAACCCCGUUUCAGCAGGGACGAAGCGAAAGUGACGGUACCUGCAGAAGAAGCGCCGGCUAACGUACGCGCCAGCAGCCGC
rnacentral:rRNA from 1 species